rnacentral:rRNA from 1 species
UACAGAGGGGGCAAGCGUUAUUCGGAAUUAUUGGGCGUAAAGGGCGCGUAGGCGGCUACACAAGUGGCGGGUGAAAUCCCUCGGCUUAACCGAGGAACUGCCUGCCAGACUGUGUGGCUUGAGACCGGGAGAGGUGAGUGGAAUUCCCAGUGUAGCGGUGAAAUGCGUAGAUAUCAGGAGGAACACCGAUGGCGAAGGCAGCUCGCUGGGACGGUACUGACGCUGAGGCGCGAAAGCGUGGGGAGCAAACAGG